rnacentral:rRNA from 1 species
UACGUAGGUGGCAAGCGUUGUCCGGAUUUAUUGGGCGUAAAGCGCGCGCAGGUGGUUUCUUAAGUCUGAUGUGAAAGCCCCCGGCUCAACCGGGGAGGGUCAUUGGAAACUGGGAGACUUGAGUGCAGAAGAGGAUAGUGGAAUUCCAAGUGUAGCGGUGAAAUGCGUAGAGAUUUGGAGGAACACCAGUGGCGAAGGCGACUGUCUGGUCUGUAACUGACACUGACGCUGAGGCACGAAAGCGUGGGGAGCAAACAGG